UGGCUUCUCAGCAGGCCUGGUCUCAACCAACCGGAAGGUUUUUUAUCUUCAACUUAGUAGCCCAUUUUCUUUCUUUCUUCCCAUCCCCACACUCACCACUCCCUCCCUGCUUUCUUGUUAGUAGUAAGGCGUUCCCAAACCCCUCUAUUUCUCUCUGCAUUUCCCCCACCAUUUGCAGACUCUCUACAAUGAUGCUGGGAGAAGCGAAGGCCCCUGCACUCCAAAGAUCAGAAGCUUCCGUUACUAACUGUGAAAAACUCAGCAGUGACCUGCUUGACGUACAGCAAUGCAUUGGCAUCAUUGUGG
rnacentral:lncRNA from 1 species